rnacentral:rRNA from 1 species
GUGGAUUAGAUACCCGGGUAGUCCACGCCGUAAACGAUGAGUGCUAGGUGUUAGGGGUUUCGAUACCCUUGGUGCCGAAGUUAACACAGUAAGCACUCCGCCUGGGGAGUACGGUCGCAAGACUGAAACUCAAAGGAAUUGACGGGGACCCGCACAAGCAGUGGAGUAUGUGGUUUAAUUCGAAGCAACGCGAAGAACCUUACCAGGUCUUGACAUCCCUCUGAAUCCUCUAGAGAUAGAGGCGGCCUUCGGGACAGAGGAGACAGGUGGUGCAUGGCCGUCGUCAACU